CCCUGUAGCAUUUCAAACUAACAAAUUAUUUCAUUAUAGUAAUGGAUGCUAAUUUGUGUUCUCUGCACUGUGAAGAUCAUAUAUGAUGCUGCCAACAUUAUCACAAAUGUGGAAGCCAAGUGGCCAGGCUCUGUCCAUGACUCACAAAUAUUCCGUGAAUGUACACUGAGCACAAAAUUUGGACAUGGAGAGUUCACUGGCUACUUGCUUGGUGAUAGGGGGUAUCCAUGUUUACCCUAUUUGCUUACCCCUUACCCUGACCCUGAACCGGGCCCACAGCAGCGA